ensembl:lncRNA
CGUGGACUGGCUUCUUUUAUAUCUUCUUAAGAUUUUAAAGACGCAGACACUCGGCUCAGCAUGGUGACGGUUCUUCUUGAAGGUUCUGAGGACGCAGAA